UCGGAACGUGUCCUGUUNUGGGGGAUAACUGAUCGAAAGAUCAGCUAAUACCGCAUGAGACCUGAGGGUGAAAGCGGGGGAUCGCAAGACCUCGCGCGACAGGAGCGGCCGAUGUCUGAUUAGCUAGUUGGUGAGAUAAAAGCUUACCAAGGCGACGAUCAGUAGCUGGUCUGAGAGGAUGAUCAGCCACAUUGGGACUGAGACACGGCCCAGACUCCUACGGGAGGCAGCUG
rnacentral:rRNA from 1 species